AACCACAGACCCGUUCCAGAGAACUUCAGGGGAGGGGAGAUGCUUUCACUCUCUUCGGAGACUGAUAAGUCAUUUCUUGCUAUUGCUGCUUAGCUUCCCCGCAGCUUCUCUGGAAUCUCGGCGCUCGUGAGGCAGAGUCUCAAGGAACUGUUUUCUUUCGAGUUCGUCACUUCUCCUCUGCUUCGGCAGGGUCUGAGUCGUGUGGACUUGAGCAACAAGUUAACGGUUGUUGCCGCAACCUUGUGUAGCGGAUGAGACAGAAGCAGCCCCGUCGACGGGUACUAAGAUCAAGUUCGGCAUGUGACCUUGAGUUCUUGGGAUGAUUGCUCCUUCGGGGGUUAGCUUCCCAAUUGAGCUCGGUCGCCUUUGGCGCCGUGCCGCGGUAUAUUCCUAAACGCUGUGUAGGUCCUAUGGACCAGUUAUCAUUUGGGUAAAACCAUACCGCUGACAUUU
rnacentral:snoRNA from 1 species